rnacentral:rRNA from 1 species
AACGUAGGACGCAAGCGUUAUCCGGAGUUACUGGGCGUAAAGCGCGGGCAGGCGGUCUUGCCAGUCUGAUGUGAAAUCUCCUCGCUCAACGGGGAGCAGCCAUUGGAAACUACAAGACUGGAGUCUGGCAGAGGUAGGCGGAAUUCCGGGUGGAGUGGUGAAAUGCGUAGAGAUCCGGAGGAACACCAGUGGCGAAGGCGGCUCACUGGACUGGUAUUGACGCUGAGGUGCGAAAGCGUGGGGAGCAAACAGG